rnacentral:rRNA from 1 species
UACGUAGGGGGCAAGCGUUGUCCGGAAUUAUUGGGCGUAAAGAGCGCGUAGGCGGUCCGAUAAGUCGGCUGUGAAAGUCAUGGGCUCAACCCAUGAAAGCCGGCCGAUACUGUCGGACUAGAGUCCGGAAGAGGCGAGUGGAAUUCCCGGUGUAGCGGUGAAAUGCGCAGAUAUCGGGAGGAACACCUGAGGCGAAGGCGGGCUACUGGGCCGAUACUGACGCUGAUGCGCGAAAGCCAGGGGAGCGAACGGG